rnacentral:rRNA from 1 species
UACGGAGGGGACUAGCGUUGUUCGGAAUUACUGGGCGUAAAGCGCACGUAGGCGGAUUUGUAAGUCAGGGGUGAAAUCCCGAGGCUCAACCUCGGAACUGCCUUUGAUACUGCAAAUCUCGAGUCCGGAAGAGGUGAGUGGAAUUCCUAGUGUAGAGGUGAAAUUCGUAGAUAUUAGGAAGAACACCAGUGGCGAAGGCGGCUCACUGGCCCGAUACUGACGCUGAGGCACGAAAGCGUGGGGAGCAAACAGGGAU